UACGUAGGGUGCAAGCGUUAAUCGGAAUUACUGGGCGUAAAGCGUGCGCAGGCGGUUAUGUAAGACAGGUGUGAAAUCCCCGGGCUUAGCCUGGGAACUGCAUUUGUGACUGCAUAGCUAGAGUACGGUAGAGGGGGAUGGAAUUCCGGCGUGUAGCAGUGAAAUGCGUAGAUAUGCGGAGGAACACCGAUGGCGAAGGCAAUCCCCUGGACCUGUACUGACGCUCAUGCACGAAAGCGUGGGGAGCAAACGAGG
rnacentral:rRNA from 1 species